UAAUGUGAAUUGCAGAAUUCAGUGAAUCAUCGAAUCUUUGAACGCACAUUGCGCCCCUUGGUAUUCCGAGGGGCAUGCCUGUUCGAGCGUCAUU
rnacentral:rRNA from 1 species